GGCACCUAGAUAUACAACCAAAAUGUGAAAGCACCUGUAUGCUGGUUGACAGAAGAUCUUUAAUGGAUGAAGAAGAAUUGCUUGUCUGUCACACUGAAAAACCCUAAAGAAGGGCGAGUGUUAUUCUGGACAGGAUCAAAAAGCCUUCUUCAGGAGGUAUUUGCAACUGGAAGAUACACACCCUUCUCUGCUCCCAUCCUUCUUUAGCACUGCAACACUCCUGGUACGUUACUUCUGGAAGCUGCCAAUGGCUUUUUCAGAGGUGAAGGCUGGUAUGUAGGGAGCUUCUACUCAUAAACAGUAUCUACCUCCUGUGAGAUGCAUUCACCUAGUUAGCCAGAAUAAACUGUGUCUCUAAACUAUAUCA
rnacentral:lncRNA from 1 species